GCUGAAUGUGGGUGUGGCAGUGAAACUGUCCAGACUGGUUAUGAGGAUAGAGAGAGGUGCUACUUCACUGACUGUCCCAGAACUCUCCUUGGUCCUAAAGAGCAGCCAGACACCAGAGAGAGUGUUAUCCAGGGCUCUGAGUAAUGUGGUGUCCCUUCUGAGACUCUGGAAGGUUCAGUGUCUGGACCUGACUGACCUCUGGAUCCAGGGUCACUCUCUCAUUGCACUGCUGUGUCACCAGGGACCUCUCUCUCUUAGACUAAACUCAGAAACUUUGCAGCAGCUGACUGUAGUUGUGUAUGAAGCUCAGGACAAGGAGUUGACUCAGUGGUUCCUAGAGAAGGUUGGUGGAGACCUGACCUCCUGCAGGAUGGACUGGGAAGUGCUUCUCUCUCUGCUGCAGCAUUCAACCCACAACAUCACUGUGGACCUCAGGAAGAACAGGCUUCUAGAGAAGAACAUCUCAGAUCUUCUCCCCUUUCUGGGAAGGGUUACUCUCAAGAGGUCCAGUUCCAGCUUUGUAAAGUCCACCAUCAGACAGAUCUAUGACAGAGCCAGUGAAUGUGUGUCCAGUUUGUUGAGUUCUUCAGACCAUUGGAUCAACCUGAACAGCAGAGAGCUGGACAGAGUGGACUGUACCGCUCUGUGUUUUACCCUGCAGCACAGCCACCAAGUCAAAGUCAACCUGCUGUGGACCUCCAUACCACCGGGGGAGAUAGAGAGCAUCCUGCCUCUUCUGGACAGAGUCUCCCAACUCAGUGUUGACAGGAGGUUACUGCUGAGUUUCCUCCAGUGCUGUGCUGCCUCUCAGUUCCAGCAGGGGGGACCAUCAUCACUACCAACAGCAGUAUGGCUGCUCAGGUCUCUGCACUUCAGGCUGGACUUCUCCUGCUCCUCCUCUGUGGACCUGUCAGUUCAGGACCAGGAGAAGGCUCUGUGUCUGACCACUGACCACUGCAGGGCCAUCCACUCUGUUCUGAAGCAGAACCAACACGGCACCCCGCUGGUUCAGAACCAGGUCCAGCUCAUCCUAAGAGACUGUGAGGUGGAGGACAGAGCACUGAGGGAGCUGCUUCCCAUCCUGCAUAUUGUCAAGCUGAGUCCCAGCAAAGCUCUGCUACUUCAGCUGCUGGACCUUGUGUGUGAGGGGAUUGAAGAGGGGCUGCUGAGGCACGCAGAGUCCCUAUGCAGAGCCCUGGAUGGGGAGCUGGACCUCAGUGAGACCAGGCUGGACCUGAAGGCCUGUGGAUCUCUGGCCCUGGUUCUGGAACACUCAGAGGGUCUGUCAAAACUGGACCUCAGCCACUGUCAACUCACAGACGACCAGCUACAGCCCCUGAUCACACACCUGCAUAAAGUACAAGUCCUCGACCUGAGCCACAAUGACAUCACUGAUGCUCUGACUGACAGAAUACUCCAACUGGUCUCUACCAACACUUCAAUACACACCAUACGACUCUUCAACAACAGAAUCAGGAACAGAACCGCUUUCCUGACAGACGAGAGGUUUGAGAUCUGAUUAAACAUCAGGUCUUCGCCCAGGAAGAGGAAGAGAUGGCUGUUAGGUCUUGGUCCAGGAAGAGGAAGAGAUGGCUGUUAGGUCUUGGUCCAGGAAGAGGAACAGAUGGCUGUCAGGUCUUGGUCCAGGAAGAGGAAGAGAUGGCUAUUAGGUAUUGGUCCAGGAAGAGGAAGAGAUGGCUGUUAGGUCUUAGUCCAAAUCAAAAUAAAAUGUUAUUGGUCACAUACACAUGGUUACCAGAUGUUAUUGGUCACAUACACAUGGUUAGCAGAUGUUAUUGGUCACAUACACAUGGUUAGCAGAUGUUAUUGGUCUCACAUACACAUGGUUAGCAGAUGUUAUUGUGAGUGUAGCGAAAUGCUUAUGCUUCUAGAUCUGACAGUGCAUCAGUAUCUAACAGGUAAUAUCUAACACAUUCCACAACAAAACCUAAUAUCUAACAAAUUCCACCACAAAACCUAAUACACACAGUCUUAUAAACGAAUGGGAUAAGAAUAUAUAAGUAAGUAUACAAUAUAUGGAUGAGCAGUGACAGAGCGGCUAAGAUGCAAUAGAUAGUAAAGAAUAUAUAGUAAUAUAUUAUUUUAAAUAGAUAGUGAAAGAUACAGUAUAUACAUAUUAGAUGAGUAAUGUGAAAUAUGUAAACAUUCUUAAAGUGGCAUUAUUAAAGUGACUUCUGUUCCAUUUAUUAAAGAGGCCAAUGAUAUCAAGUCUGUAGGUAGGCAGCAGCCUCUCUGUGCUAGUGGUGGCUGUUUAACAAUCUGAUGGCCCUGAGACAGGAGCUGUUUUUCAAUUUCUCUGUCCCAGCUUUGAUGCACCUGUACUGACCUCGCGUUCUUGAUGAUAGCAGGGUGAACAGGCAGUGGCUCGGGUGGGUAUUGUCCUUGAUGAUCCCUUUUGCCUUCUUGUGACAUCGGGUGGUGUAGGUGUCCUGGAGGGCAGGAAGUUGCCCCCGGUGAUGCGUUGUGCAGACCGCACCACCCUCUGGAGAGCCCUGCGGUUGCAGGCGGUGCAGUUGCUGUACCAGACGGUGAUACAGCCUGACAGGAUGCUCUCAAUUGUGCACCUGUAAAAGUUAGUGAGGGUUUUCGGUGACAAGACCAUUUUUCUCAGCCUCCUGAGGUUGAAACAUACAGUGGGAGAUAUUAAAAAGUGAUUCAAGUAAUGCAGUAAAAUGGUUCAGAAUGUUUUAAUGUUGGUUGCUUUAAGGUACGAUGCUUGUAGACUGUGUUGGUUAGGUUUAACUUGUUGGUACUACCCAUCCUGGGUCCGGGAGCAUUGUCAUCAAUUGACACGAAUUAGCAUAAUGCAACGGACAUAAAUAUUACUAGAAAACGUUGGUUAUAAUCCUCAAGGUGUUUUUCAAAUAUCUAUUUGAUAAUAUAUCAACCGGGACUGGUGGCUUCUUAGUAGGAAAGAGAGAAACAAUGGCCGCAUUUGUCCUUUACGCACAAAACACUCUGCGAGACUUCAGCUGACGAAUGAUGCAAUGUUGACGUUCAGGCUCAUUUUUCUAAAUAAAAGCCUGAAACAAUUAGGGAAGCCAUAGAAAAAGGAAUCUGGUUGAUACCUCAUUCACUGCUCAAUAGAACGCAGAGCUUCUAAAUAAGAGUCCCUGCCGGAUUGGAUUUUUCUCCGGCUUUCGCCUGCAAUAUCAGUUCUGUUAUACUCACAGACAAUAUUUUUACAGUUUUGGAAACUUUAGAGUGUUUUCUAUCCUAAGCUGCCAAUUAUAUGCAUAUUCUAGCAUCUUGUCCUGACAAAAUAGCCCGUUUACUUCGGGAACGUUAUUUUUCCAAAAAUUAAAAUAGUGCCCCCUAGUUACAAGAGGUUAAAGGACAAGGCCUUAGGGUCUGUAGGAUGUUGGUAAUGACAUGUUAUAAUGAUGAAAUGGUCUAAUGUUAAAAUGUUAAAAAAUGUUGAAUGUUUAGGAAGUAAUGGGAAGAAAAGGUUAGAGUGGGAUUAUAAUUGAGUAGGGAAUGUUAAUGUUUAGAAAUAAAUGUUUUAAAAGUUAAUGGAGUGUACUCCAUAUUGAUAAUGGAGUGUACUAAGGGUGCUGGCUUGCUUUGGGAAUCCCCCGGUCAGAGCAGCCAGGAGGAGGCAUCCUGUCAAGACGUCCUGCCUAUGUGAGGAAAGAUGGGGGUUAGUGGGUGCUGAAAGAGCACCUUUUGAGUGAUGGCCGCAUUAGGUGUUAACCACUGAGCGUAUCUUUCGAGGAUGUUAGCCACAAUGAGUUAACAGAAAGGAAGAUGGAGGGUAUAAAGGAGGCAUGAUUUUGGAGAAGGGUACAACUCUCUAUUAGCUAGAAGAACCUGCUGGAAGAAGAUUCUUGCUGUAUUAUUAUACUCAUAUCUUAUUUAUUUAUAUUAUAUUUUUAUUAAUUAUUAUUUUAUUAUUUUUGUAUUAUUUAUAUUUACUACUGGGGGAUAUAGGCUGGUCUACUGGGGGAUAUAGGCUAGUCUACUGGAGGAUAUAGGCUGGUCUACUAGGGGAUAGAAGGGGAUAUAGGCUGGUCUACUGGGGGAUAUAGGCUAGUCUACUGGAGGAUAUAGGCUGGUCUACAAGAGGAUAUAGGGGGAUAUAGGCUGGUCUACUGGGGGAUAUAGGCUAGUCUACUGGAGGAUAUAGGCUGGUCUACAAGGGGAUAUAGGGGGAUAUAGGCUGGUCUACAAGGGGAUAAAGGAGAAUAUAGGCUGGUCUACUUAAGUUUACCUCAUUGAUAGAAGUGUGUUAAAGUAGCUGGUAGAGUUUUUAGACGCCAACUGAGGGACUGAGGGGGGAGACAAUAAACAGUGUAUUAUUAUUAUUAGUCCAAAUAACAGGAACAGGACCACAACAGUAGCCACCAAAACAACAGGAACGCAGUCCAGAAAAAACACCUGUUCCACAGAACAAAUCAAAACGCAACCCAAACAAAUGACAGCUACACAAACAAUCCCGCACGAAACCAAGAGGCUAGGGCGAGAUUAAAUACCCCACUAAUAACCUAAACUAGACACAGGUGAACAACAAAACUAAACGAAAAAGAAAAGGGAUCGGUGGCAGCUGGUAGCUAGUAGACCCGGCGACGACGACCGCCGAGCACCGCCUGUACAGGGAGAGGAUCCACCUUCGGUGGAAGUCGUGACAGGUAUAGAUAAAAUCAAAUUGUAUUGGUCACAUACACAUAUUUAGCAGAUGUUAUUGCAGGUGUAGCGAAAUGCAUGACGGAGUCGUAAGAGGGGGGAUUCUGGGCUAAACCAACCCUGGGCUAAACCAACCGAGCACCCCGUCAUAGUGAUCUACAGCAGAAACUCUGUCCUGGAUGAUCCUGAAGAAGUGCAGGGUUUAUAGAGUGAGGGCUAGGCAGCGUAGGCAUUAGGCUCUGAGGAUAGCCCACUUUACUGUAAGGCCCUUACUGUUGAUUCUGAGGCACAGUCCCUAGCUAUAGACUAGCUCAGUGGUAAUGUCAGAGUGGCAGAUCUGUAGAGGUUAAAUGUGUUGUCAUUUCCUAUCGAGAACUAAAUCUACCAGACUGCAAAUGUUUUGGCAAUUCCUAUAGAAAAAGAAAUCUACUAGACUG
rnacentral:lncRNA from 1 species